rnacentral:lncRNA from 1 species
CGGUUAAAGUAAUGCCCAUAAUUCUAUAAGCACGUAAGUUUGUAAUACAUUGAUUUGGCAGAUCUAAAUAAUCCGUUUGUAUAUAGUUAUUUGUGCGCUUAGAGAGACUUAAUAUGCCGUGGUCAAUGCUUGCUCGGUGUAAUCUCUUAGAGGUUGAGUUGCAAUAAAAAUGAUUUCUUGCGAAUUCUCUAGUACCUGAACUUUGUUCACGUGUGCAAAAGUUGGUUUCUCUGUCGGCAUGUGAACCGUCAGGUGCAAGAAAGAGAAAUGGACAUGGAGUUCGCCUGAGGCUUAGCUCAUCGCAAAUUUGGCACGGCUAAUUCCAGCCCUUCUGCCCAAAAACGUUAAGCAGAUGGACAACCUAAACGGGAUCAAAGUCAGACCUUGCCUCGUUCAGAAGCUAGCAAUUUCUGACGCGAUUUGUCAUAGAACAGCUAACAUAUAUUUGCACGGAAGGUGUUAUUUCUGUUGGCGAGACACGAAUGCGACCGACGGGAAAUGGACGCAAUUUAAACGUGUUUUGACCCAUUUUUGAGAAAAUGACAAGUUCU